CAGCCGCCGCGGGAAUACGGAGGGCGCGAGCGUUACCCGGAUUUACUGGGCGUAAAGGGCGUGUAGGCGGCCUGGGGCGUCCCAUGUGAAAGGCCACGGCUCAACCGUGGAGGAGCGUGGGAUACGCUCAGGCUAGAGGGUGGGAGAGGGUGGUGGGAUUCCCGGAGUAGCGGUGAAAUGCGCAGAUACCGGGAGGAACGCCGAUGGCGAAGGCAGCCACCUUGUCCACUUCUGACGCUGAGGCGCGAAAGCGUGGGGAGCAAACCGGAUUAGAUACCCGUGUAGUCCCUGUCUCUUAUAC
rnacentral:rRNA from 1 species